ACACUCCCCAGAAUGUCAUGGCCCCGACAUCCUUUUGAACGUAGCUCUUAGUAACAGUUGGCACAACAGAUAAUACAGAUAUGUCAUCCCUGCCUUAGAAGAUCUCCAGUCCCUUUCCUAGAGAGUGUCAGCUGACCUCUGUCCUGUGUGUCCAGUGGCCCCCUGGGAAGUAUCUUCAAGAAGACUGUAGACCGUGAUGCUUGAAAGAUGGGUCUGCUAUGUGCAGAGGCUCCAUGGGACGUGUCAUCUUAUUAGCAGCAGGGUGCUAGACUGUGGGGCCCCAAGGUCUCAGCCUCAGGUCCAGAGACUGUUGAAGGAAGUCCCAAGGCCACAGAGUCAGUGACCUUUUGGAUGCCCUGUGAUCUGGGUUUACUGUUAUUUCUU